CCAGCCCCGCUCAGAAGUCAAGAGCAGCAGCGCCGCCGCCUCCGUGCGGCCUUUCAGGACGCGGCCUGUCCUUAUCCUCGUGCCUCGCCCUCUCUGGUCGCCCCGGACAAAGCCCCCGGUGCCGGCCGCUCCCUUCCCUCUAAAUCUCCUUCGGGUCAAUGCGCUACCAGCACCGGGCCGCGCGCUUUCCCUGCCAGCCUUGUGCUCUUAAAGAGCCGCACCCCCUACCCCCGCCCCGCUCCCCCGACCCCCGCCUCUCGCCCUUCUCUGGAUCUAGCCCCCCACGCUGAUGCCCCGACCGUCGCCCGCGGAC
rfam:Myotis brandtii contig195606, whole genome shotgun sequence.